rnacentral:rRNA from 1 species
GAUGAACGCUGGCGGCGUGCCUAAUACAUGCAAGUCGAGCGAACAGACGAGGAGCUUGCUCCUCUGACGUUAGCGGCGGACGGGUGAGUAACACGUGGAUAACCUACCUAUAAGACUGGGAUAACUUCGGGAAACCGGAGCUAAUACCGGAGCAUAUAUUGAACCGCAUGGUUCAAUAGUGAAAGACGGUUUUGCUGUCACUUAUAGAUGGAUCCGCGCCGCAUUAGCUAGUUGGUAAGGUAACGGCUUACCAAGGCAACGAUGCGUAGCCGACCUGAGAGGGUGAUCGGCCACACUGGAACUGAGACACGGUCCAGACUCCUACGGGAGGCAGCAGUAGGGAAUCUUCCGCAAUGGGCGAAAGCCUGACGGAGCAACGCCGCGUGAGUGAAGAAGGUCUUCGGAUCGUAAAACUCUGUUAUUAGGGAAGAACAAAUGUGUAAGUAACUAUGCACGUCUUGACGGUACCUAAUCAGAAAGCCACGGCUAACUACGUG